rnacentral:lncRNA from 1 species
GCAUUUUGGGAAUUGAUGUGGCAAUAGCUGAUGAAAGUUUUUUGGCAAACUUUCAGAUAUCUUAUAGACCAUUUAUUAGAAAACUAUAGGGAUGGGCUGGUGAGAUGGCUCAGUGGGUAAGAGCACCCGACUGCUCUUCCGAAGGUCCAGAGUUCAAAUCCCAGCAACCACAUGGUGGCUCACAACCAUCUGUAACAAGAUCUGACGCCCUCUUCUGGAGUGUCUGAAGACAGCUACAGUGUACUUACAUAUAAAUAAAUAAAUCUUUAAAAAAAAAAGAAAAAAAAAAGAAAACUAUAGGGAAAAAAAUGUAAUCUACGAAAACAAGAGAAACCUCAAUAAGAAGCAAACAGUUCCUGGUUGGGACCUGGAGAUUCAACGCAGGAAAGAGAAGAGGCUGCUCAGGGGAGGAUUCGGAGAAAGGAGCCAAGCCUGGGAAGGAGCACCACACAGGAAAGGGGCUGUGCAUUUCAACUAGUUCUACCCCCAGCUGUUAAGACACCGGGCAAGACGCCCAGGGAAACAAGGUUUUGCCUGUAAACUGAAAAGAAGAGCGUCGGGAGGAAAUACCAGGGUGAGGUUCAUGGAGCAUAAGAGGCAAUGGGGGAGGCAGAGCACAUGCAUGUGUUGUGGAAGAGACGGAAUCAGGAUUCUGUGAUAUAGAAGGGAGCUGUGUGGUAAGACAGAAGGCCAGUGAUAGAUGGGUGCGCCCCACAGUGGCCGUGUAAAGGUGUUUAGGAAUGGAAGUAGCAGUUGGUGAGGCCCAGGAAGUGUCUGAAGCUGGGCAGUGAAGCACAGGGAUUCCCAACAUGCUGGACACUAUGGAGAAGCAUGAGUGAGCCACAGACAGCCGCUCAUUCUAAGGUGAUUGAUUCCCCCCACCUUUCCUCCAAGGAUAAUUUGAAGUGGGCAGCUGAAGAAAUCCAGGCUGUCAACACCUUCGAUGAAAAGAACUACUUGGAGUGCCACCGUGGGUCCACCCCCGAGUGGGGGGUGGGGAGGGGUGGGCUAUGGUUGGGAAGCUUUCUGGAGGCCUCAUGCUGGGACAUCAGGUGGCUCACCCCCAACAAGCUGAAACCGGAUAUUGCUGCCAAGUUCCUUGGAAGGCUCAACUUUGCUGCCCUUGAAAAUUUGUAUCUGUAAAAAGGCAGGGUGGGCCUGGUGUGAUGGCGCACGCCUUUAAUCCCAGCACUCUGGAGGCAGAGGCAGGCGGAUUUCUGAGUUCGAGGCCAGCCUUGUCUACAAAGUGAGUUCCAGUACAGCCAGAGCUAUACAGAGAAACCCUGUCUCGAAAAAACCAAACCAAACCAAACCAAACCAAACCAGAACAAAAAGGCAGGGUGGCCUGGGGACUGAGGGUGGGUUCUGGGUUUAGGAUGCUCACACCAGUGCAUGGGACUUGCACCAUUACUGUUAGCAUUUCUUCUAGGCUCCACUCCACAGCUACCUGGCAAUAGCCAGGUCUCUCUCCUCCCUCUCACCCCCCCACUUCCCCCUCCCCCUCCCCUCCCCCUCCCCUCCCCCUCCCCCUUCCCCCAUCUUUCUCCUCUCUCUGCCUUUCUCUGUCUCUACUACUCACUCAACCCCCCUCCCCAUGCCCUUAAUAAACUCUACUUCAGGGGGAAGGGCUGCCUCAGCAUGGGGCCUGCAAAGGCACCCCCUUCCCCUGCACCAUACUGCGCUUCUACCAAACAUCUCUGGCUUCUUUUUCCUUUUUGUAAAACACAACAAAGGUGACAUUUUAAAUCUGAACACUUUAGUAAUUCACUUGUUUCCAAUCUUUGUCAUUGACUUUAGAUGCCAAACUUGUGGUUACACUAAUAAAAUCAUUGAAAGAUGGCAAACGGUACCCAGCAUCUGGGCCUAUGGCAUCCGGGACUGGAGGGGGCUGCUCUGUGCAUCCUGGAGGUUUUGCCCUCACCUGCAUCAGCCACAAGGCUGAGGAAGGCUUGAGAACCUUGUGGAAUUAUCUGUGGUAUCUUGAGGUACGCACUUUUGACCAUCGAGACAAAGUGGCCAUUUUCCCAGCUUGCUCAGAAACUCAAGCAUAGACAGGUUUCUAGAUAAAUGGUUGAACUGGGGGCCCUUCUGAGAAUCUAGGACUGCUUUUCAUUUCUCAAAAGAACAUGCACAGAAUGGUGGGCAGGGAGAGCAGCCUCAAAACACAGCCUGGACCCCAGUUUCAGUCCUGUCCCAGAAGCAUUGUUUCUUUUUUGCUGCAGACUAGGAACUAAAUGCGGGUGUAUAGGCAGGGUCAUACUCGACCCUCACAAAAACUUACAAGGUAGUGUUAGCAAAUAUUAUAGGUCUGGGGUCAUUCAGAGAUUCACCAGCCUAUUAAUAAAUUUGAUCAAAGAAGAGGCUUUUUAUUCAGACACGGGUACCAGUUCUGCCCUGGAGAACAGAGACUCAGGAUUUCUGAAUGCAGCGCCCAGCCACUCCAGUGAGGGUUUGUAAAGGCAAAGAAUACAAAGUUACCAUUGCGCUGGUGCAGCAGAAGGGUCCUCUUUACAGAAGCAGAAACAGCCAUAAAAAACAAUGUAACCCUUAACAGCCUUAAUGUUUGGAGGCCUAGUCUUGCUUUAUAGUUCUGUUAAGUACAGAGAUGUUUAACUUUUAAACAUAAAGUUAGCCAUUGAUGUUACUUUACCUACCCUAUCUCCCGUCCAGUUAUACUCUGAGUCAAAUCAAUCCUUGACUCUGUGUUGGGUACCUGUUCAUAUUGAGACUUAAUUACCACCAGUUUAAUAGCUCAUAAGUAGGAAUUUACAUAUCUUGCCUUAGCAUUAAUGAUGCAGGGGCCAACUAUAAUCAGCAGGCAUAGGAGAGCUAAGUUGGUUGACAGCAAGAAGAACCCAAGAAAGAAUUUCCUCUCUGUGAGAUGUUUUCGAAUUUCAGCCAAAUUAUCCUGAUAUCCCUGAGUGGUUUGCAUAGAAGCGGAUGAUUUCCCCCAAGGCUACAGUGACCUCCUUGUUCUGCACAAAGCAGGUUAAACACCCUACCAUGUUGUAAGACUACCUCAGCCAAGAGUCAACGAUUCUGUUAAUUUUGCAAUGGACUUUUCUCAUGCAAAUAAAUUUUAUAAAAUAAAUGCAAAUGG